UUUACUGAUUCCUCCUUCUUGACGAACCGUGAUGUCAUUAAUUUGGUGUUGCGGGAAAUCAGGACUGUUACUUUGAAAAAAUUAGAGUGUUUAAAGCAGGCUAACGCUUGAAUACAUUAGCAUGGAAUAAUGAAAUAGGACGUUAAUCCUAUUUUGUUGGUUUCUAGGAUCGACGUAAUGAUUAAUAGGGAUAGUUGGGGGCAUUAGUAUUCAAUUGUCAGAGGUGAAAUUCUUGGAUUUAUUGAAGACUAACUACUGCGAAAGCAUUUGCCAAGGAUGUUUUCAUUAAUCAAGAACGAAAGUUAGGGGAUCGAAGACGAUCAGAUACCGUCGUAGUCUUAACCAUAAACUAUGCCGACUAGGGAUCGGAUGAUGUUAAUUCUUUAAUGACUCC
rnacentral:rRNA from 1 species